GAUGAACGCUGGCGGCAUGCCUAAUACAUGCAAGUCGAACGCACGGACGGGAAGGUGGCUUCUCUGAUGUUAGCGGCGGGCGGGAGAGUAACUCGUAGAUAACCUCCCUAUAAGACUGGGAUAACUUCCGUAAACGCGAGCCAGUACCGGAUAUUAUUUUGAACGGCAUGGUUCAAAAGUGAAAGACGGUCUUGCUGUCACAUGUAGAUGGAUCCGCGCUGCAUUAGCUAGUUGGUAAGGUAACGGCUUACCAAUGCAACGAUGCAUAGCCGACCCGAGAGGGAGAACGGCUAGCUUGGAACUGAGGCACGGCCGAGACUCCGAGGGGAGGCAGCAGUCCGGAAUCUUCCGCGAGGGAGGAAAGCCUGACAGUGCAACGUCGCGGGAGGCAUGAAGGUCCUAGGAUCGUAAAACUAUGUUAGUAGGGAAGAAGAUAUGUGUAAUUAACUGUGCACAUCAUGACGGUAGCUAAUCAGAAAGCCACGGCUAACUACGUG
rnacentral:rRNA from 1 species